UACGUAGGUGGCAAGCGUUUGUCCGGAAUUAUUGGGCGUAAAGCGCGCGCAGGCGGUUCCUUAAGUCUGAUGUGAAAGCCCCCGGCUCAACCGGGGAGGGUCAUUGGAAACUGGGGAACUUGAGUACUGAAGAGGAAAGCGGAAUUCCACGUGUAGCGGUGAAAUGCGUAGAUAUCGGGAGGAACACCAGUGGCGAAGGCGACUAUCUGGGCUGCAACUGACGCUGAGGCGCGAAGGCUAGGGUAGCAAACAGG
rnacentral:rRNA from 1 species